CCCUUAUGAAAUUAAAAAUCUUACAAAUUGUUGCCUUAACGUGGGUCUUACGGAUGUGCGCUCCAUUGGUUGUUUUUACACGUGGACUAAUGGGUCGGUUUGGAGCAAAAUUGAUAGGGCAAUGGUAAAUGAUGUUUGGAUACAAAAUGGGGCUUUUGUUGAAGCAAAUUUCCUACCUUCCGGAUGCCUCUCCGACCACUUCCCUUGCAUUGUUUCUAUACAUUACCGUGUGGGUAGAGCAAAAAUCCCUUUCAAGUUUUUUAACAUGUGGACCAAGCAUGUGGAUUUCAAUGAUUUGAUUAGACCUUGCUGGAAUUUUUACUUGCGAGGGACAAAACAAUUUAUCCUUUGCAAGAAAUUGGGCAAACUAAAUGGUGAUUUGAAGGAGCUAAAUUUUAAGCAUUUUGGGUAUAUUUCGGGUAGAGCAAGUGAGGCCAAAAAUGAUUUAGAGUCUGCCCAAUUACAGCUCCAUAAUCAGCCCUACAAUGCUGAUUUUCAAGUUUUGGUUGCGAAAUUGAGGAAGAAGACCAUUACUUUAUGUGAAGCGGAACGUAGUUUUUACUACCAAAAGGCAAAGUGUGUCUUCCUUAAGCAAAGUGAUAAAUGCACAAAGUUCUUUCACUCAUUGGUUAAAAUGAAUUUUAAGAGGAAUUUUAUUGCUACCGUACUCAAAAAAGAUGGGAUGUAUACUACAUCACAAGAUGAAGUGGCUAGAAAAUUUGUAAAUUUUUAUAAUUCUUUGCUGGGAAAGAAAUGCUCCUCUCGGCCUAUUGACAUGGAUAUUCUUACAAAUGGUCCCUUGGUUUCCUUGGAACAAGGUAACACCUUGAUUCGGGACAUUUCUUAUGAGGAAAUUAAAGAUGCGCUUUUUGAUAUCGGUGAUGACAAAUCUCCCGGGCCAGAUGGUUAUACUUUUUUUUUUUUUAAGAAUGCUUGGGGGAUUAUUGGUGAUGAUUUUGUUGGGGCUAUUUUGGAGUUCUUCUCUUCGGGUUGCAUCCUCAAACAAAUUAAUCACAUGGCAAUUGCUUUGGUGCCUAAAUCGGAUCACACGCCGCAUGUUGGUGAUUUUAGGCCCAUAUCUUGUUGUAAUGUUACUUAUAAAGUGGUUGCUAAAAUACUUGCUUCUAGAUUGAGACCCAUUUUGGGAGACAUUAUUGAUCAUGCGCAAGCCGCUUUUGUGGAAGGUGGAGUAUCAUGGAGAACAUUCAUCUUGCCCAAGAACUCUUGAGGCAAUACAAUAGGAAAAGGGUUACUCCACGAUGCCUCUUAAAAAUUGAUCUUUCGAAGGCUUAUGAUUCGGUAAGUUGGAAUUUUCUUAAAGAUGUUUUUUAUGGAUUGCAAUUUCCCUCAAGAUUUGUCCAUUGGAUUAUGGAAUGUGUCACUUCUACAUCAUAUUCUAUUGCUUUGAAUGGGACUUUGCAUGGAUUUUUCAAAGGUGAGAAGGGUCUUCGGCAAGGUGACUCCCUUUCUCCCUCCUUAUUUGUGCUUUGUAUUGGAUACCUUUCGAGAAUGCUUAAAGCUGCCACAUUUGAUAGUGAUCUCAACUUUCACCCAAAAUGUGGCCCCCAAAAG
rnacentral:lncRNA from 1 species